rnacentral:lncRNA from 1 species
AGGGACUCUCUUUCUCUCUUUCCCUUUCCUAACUCACAUCUUUCAACUUUAUCAUUUCAAUUACUUCCCUUUAUCAUUUCAAUUACUUCCCUUCCAAGUCUCUCAUUCCCUACAAUUACAAUUUCCCCUAACUCAAUCACUCACCAUCUAUAACUUUCUUCCUAUUCAAUUAAGUUAAUAUGUACUCUUUACUCUGUUUAUAUAUAUAUAUAUAUAUAUUAAAGAUUUCAC